rnacentral:lncRNA from 1 species
AUCAUGGAGAGGUUGGUAGCCGAGUGAGCAGGGCAGUGGCUCCCACAACUUAAUAUUUAUAUAGAAAAAUCCAGCUGUAAGGAUAGAGAGGAAAAAUGGAGCAGAAAUUGUUGGAGGUCAUCGGAACAGGAGUUGGCAGGUGGUGGGAAGAGGAAGGUGAUGGAACGUGCCUGGCGGCUGGGAAGAGAGAGGGUAACAGCAUCAGGCUCUGAGCUCCACAGAAGCUGGGUAGGAGCUGAAACCAACCCCCAGAGAGAAGACUUUAUGUUCCCGUGGUUGUGGCAUUUCUGGGCCUCCAGUGACAGCUGUUCAGCAGCA